GUUUGGUUAUUUCAUAGUGUCCUAUUAAUUUUGUUGGUAUUGUAGCAUGUAUUUUUAAUUGUUAAUCUGUUAAGGGCACUUCUGAGCCAUAAACUUCCCCCCCCUGAGUGUCCAAUCCGACGAGCAAUUCAGACUCGCUCCCCCCCAAUCAAUUAAUGCUUACCGCGACUUACACGACAGUCCCCCCCUCAUUCUUGAUAAAAGAAUAUCGAAAUUAGCUCAGGAAGAAGCUGUUCGCUUAUGCCAGCGGAAGGAAGCACGUGUAAUUCCUUUUGAGGAACCUCAUUUAUUCUCAAAUCUCACUUGCCAUGCACUGAAGCCCUUGAAAUGUAUAAGCGAAUGGUACAACGAAGGGGCCAACUACGACUACGAUCACCACUCGCCCUCGCGUUUCACUCUUAUGAUUUGGAAAUCAUCAAAGUACAUUGGUAUUGGGUAUUGCUCCGACCUACAAGAUAUGAUUCACGUAGUUGUCAAAAUCUACCCUCCUGGCAAUGAGAUUGGACAAUUUAGGGACAAUGUUAAACCGCUAUU